CUAUCUUACAAUACUUUUUUACUUUUUCAUUCUUUUCCUUCUUUUUUUCCCCAUUUACCCACAAACCACCAUGUGAAGCAAUCCUCUUCGUCGUCCUGAAGAAGACCCUUUGAGGUCGAAACGUUGACAAAAAAGGCCUAAUCCGGACCCCUCCAAAUACUACAAUUUUAUGCAAACACCCACAUAAUUCGCACUAGACGACUUCAUCGAGAAAAUAACCAAAUAUACCGAUAAGUUUCAGCACUUGCAAUCUGUCAAUAUAUGCACUACAUUAGUCCACUUUCCAAAGAACUCAUCGACCAUGAACGUCAGAAUCUUGACUCAAUGACUACACGAGUCGAUGUUGCGCUGAAUGAAUUGUUCUUUGACACCUUCAUUUACGAUUACGGGGAACAAAUAAAUAAACCAAGU